ensembl:lncRNA
GGAAAACAGAACCAUUUCCGAAGAGUGUUUCAACUACAGCAAGGAGAUCAAACCAGUCAAUCUUAAAGGAAAUCAACCCUGAAUAUUCAUUGGAAGGACUAAUGCUGAAGCUGAAGCUCCAAUACUUUGGCCACGUAAUGCGAAGAGCUGACUCACUGGAAAAGACCCGGAUGCUGGGAAAGAUUGGGGGCAUAAGGAGAAGGGGAUGACAGAGGAUGAGGUGGUUGGAUGACAUCACUGACUCAAUGGACAUGAGUUUAAGAAAGCUCCGGGAGUUGGUGAUGGACAGGGAAGCCUGGCUUGCAGCAGUCCAUGGGGUUACAAGAGCUGGACACGACUUAGUGACUGAACAACAAUAUUUAGAUUCAACCCUUUCUCAAAACAAGGUUACAGUCUCAAGGACUCUGGGAUUCUAUGAUUUAUUUUAGGACUCCAUUAUAACGCUUCAGAAGAUUCCAAAGCACAAGUUAAUAAACACCACCUAGGAUGUCAAAGAAUUCUGUUUAAGCAGUGGAAGAAAAACAAGUGGCACAAUGCUAGAUUUUGAAGGAAACCAAAACCCAAAGAAAGGUGACUUGUCUCCAUUUUGGGGCAUGGGGCUUGGUGACACAACUUCCUCUCUUUCACCAGGAGUCUUUUCCUUAUAAAGAGCAAGUCACUCAGGUGCCUGAUACCCAGGAACCAGGCUUGGAUAUUGGCUAAGCCUCUGUCCAGGGAUUGGAGAGAAAAACAGAAUAAAACAAAAUACACUAAGGGAGAUAAUGUACAGAGCUAUACCCACAGCUCAGUUCUUCAGGGGCUGAUCGUAUUCUGUGUGCAAGUAAUCCUGCAGUUUGAAGAGAAAGAUAGCAGGACUGCAGGAGCCAGGCAAGGUGGGAAUCGGCCAGAAUGCUUCUUAAAACUUCUUUCUAUAGUAUCCAAGAGAUGGUUGGAUGGUGUCACUGACUCAAUGGACAUGAGUUUGAGCAAGCUCCAGGAGAUGGUGAAGGACAGGGAAGCCUGGCAUGCUGCAGUCCAUGGGGUCACAAAGAGUUGGACACAACUGAGCAACUGAACUGAACUGAUGGCCCCAGUUGUGGUCAUUUACAAGCAGGGGGUGGCAUAACAUCUUUUAAAGAUUCAUAAAGCAAGUAAUUUUAAGUUGUAUUCCUUUAAAAAUUAAUGACAUUUCAUAGUAUGUUUCAGAGGAACAGUAAUAACAUAGGGAGUCAUAGUGCUGAGAAGGGGUAAGAAUCACUGACAUUAGGAUACUGUAGUGAAAUCCUUCAUUUAUGCAUUUAUUCAUUGAAAAUACGUUAUAUUAUCUCUACUAAGUAGCCUGCACCAUGCCAGCCAUAGAGGAAUAAACAAAGUGUAUAGUAGAGUAAAUGCUUAACUGAAAAGGAAGCCAGAUACCAUAAAACGAUAUGAGACCUUACAGAGAUGCUCUUGGAUGUAGCCAAGGUAGCUGAGGAUCGCAGCUGGGUUCUACUGACUGAAGGCUGAUCCACCUUUCUGUGACUUUUCCCUCUUUGGGAGGUACUACUUAGAGGCGUGGGACUGUGUUUAACCUGUUGUUCUGGUUUUAAAUGCUCCACUGCUUUAUUUUCUGAAGAUGAAGCUGAG